CCUACGGGAGGCAGCAGCGGGGAAUAUUGGACAAUGGGCGCAAGCCUGAUCCAGCCAUGUCGCGUGAGUGAUGAAGGCCUUAGGGUUGUAAAGCUCUUUCACCGAUGAAGAUAAUGACGGUAGUCGGAGAAGAAGCCCCGGCUAACUUCGUGCCAGCAGCCGCGGUAAU
rnacentral:rRNA from 1 species